UUAGUUCUUCACAAUCUUCAAUAUAGAUAUUUACAAGAUAAUUUAAAUAGAAUGGCAGGCUCUGGAUUUUUGUCCGUCAAUCCAUAUAAAAAUGUCUAGGUAUAUGGGGAUGAUAAAGAAAGAAGCUUUUGGACACUCCUCAUGCUUAUGCUGUAGCUGAUGCGGCAUACAAUGCAAGGAUAGCAGAUGAAGUAAGCCUGGCUAUAA